GUCUACAGCCAUAUCACCCUGAACAUGCCCAAUUUCAUCUGAUCUCAAAAGUGAAGCAGGGGGCUGAAUAGAUGGCUUAGCAGUUAAGGCAUUUGCCUGUGAAGCCUAAGGAUGCCGGUU
rnacentral:rRNA from 1 species